rnacentral:rRNA from 1 species
AGUGAACGCUGGCGGUAGGCCUAACACAUGCAAGUCGAACGGCAGCACAGUAAGAUCUUGCUUUUACGGGUGGCGAGUGGCGGACGGGUGAGGCAUACAUCGGAAUCUACUUUUUCGGGGGGGAUAACGUAGGAACACUUACGCUAAUACCGCAUACGACCUACGGGUGAAAGCAGGAGAUCUUGGGAGCUUGCGUGAUAGAAUUAGCCGAUGUCGGAUUAGCUGGUUGGCGUGGUAAAGGCCCACCAAGGCAACGAUCCGUAGCUGAUCUGAGAGGAUGAUCGGCCACACUGGAACUGAGACACGGUCCAGACUCCUACGGGAGGCAGCAGUGGGGAAUAUUGCGCAAUGGGCGCAAGCCUGAUGCAGCCAUGCCGCGUGAGUGAUGAAGGCCUUCGGGUUGUAAAGCCCUUUUGUUAGGAAAGAACAGCAGUGUAAGUAACCGCGGCUGUCCUGACGGUACCUAAUGAGUAAGCACCGGCUAACUUCGUG